UACGGAGGAUCCAAGCGUUAUCCGGAUUUAUUGGGUUUAAAGGGUGCGUAGGCGGCCUGUUAAGUCAGGGGUGAAAGACGGUAGCUCAACUAUCGCAGUGCCCCUUGAUACUGAUGGGCUUGAAUUGACUAGAGGUAGGCGGAAUGUGACAAGUAGCGGUGAAAUGCAUAGAUAUGUCACAGAACACCGAUUGCGAAGGCAGCUUACUAUGGUCUUAUUGACGCUGAGGCACGAAAGCGUGGGGAUCAAACAGG
rnacentral:rRNA from 1 species